rnacentral:rRNA from 1 species
CAGUUUGAUCAUGGCUCAGAACGAACGCUGGCGGCAGGCCUAACACAUGCAAGUCGAGCGCCCAGCAAUGGGAGCGGCGCACGGGUGAGUAACACGUGGGAACGUGCCCUUUGGUUCGGAAUAACUCAGGGAAACUUGAGCUAAUACCGGAUAAGCCCUCCGGGGGAAAGAUUUAUCGCCAUUGGAGCGGCCCGCGUUGGAUUAGCUAGUUGGUGGGGUAAAAGCCUACCAAGGCAACGAUCCAUAGCUGGUUUGAGAGAACGACCAGCCACACUGGGACUGAGACACGGCCCAGACUCCUACGGGAGGCAGCAGUGGGGAAUCUUGGACAAUGGGGGCAACCCUGAUCCAGCCAUGCCGCGUGAGUGAUGAAGGCCCUAGGGUUGUAAAACUCUUUCGCGCACGACGAUAAUGACGGUAGUGCGAGAAGAAGCUCCGGCUAACUUCGUGCCAGCAGCCGCGGUUAGCU